rnacentral:rRNA from 1 species
CGGGAAUUUUGGGCGAUGGGCGAAAGCCUGACCCAGCAACGCCGCGUGAGGGAUGAAGUAUUUCGGUAUGUAAACCUCGAAAGAAUGGGAAGAAUAAAUGACGGUACCAUUUAUAAGCUCCGGCUAACUACGUGCCAGCAGCCGCGGUAAUACGUAGGGAGCAAGCGUUGUCCGGAUUUACUGGGUGUAAAGGGCGCGCAGGCGGGAUAAAAAGUCAGUGGUGAAAUCCUACAGCUUAACUGUAGAACUGCCUUUGAUACUUUUAUUCUUGAGUUCGGGAGAGAGAGACGGAAUUCCAGGUGUAGUGGUGAAAUACGUAGAUAUCUGGAAGAACACCAGUUGCGAAGGCGGUCUCUUGGUCCGACACUGACGCUGAGGCGCGAAAGCGUGGGGAGCAAACA